GAUGAACGCUGGCGGCGUGCCUAAUACAUGCAAGUCGAGCGAAGCGGGGACGGGUGAGUAACACGUGGAUAACCUCCUAUAAGCCUGGGCUAACUUCGGGAAACCGGCGCUAAACCGGAUACUUAUCGUUGGACCCGCGCUGCAUUAGCUAGUUGGUAAGGUAAAGGCUUACCAAGGCAACGAUGCAUAGCCGACCUGAGAGGGGUAUCGGCCACACUGGAACUGAGACACGGGCCAGACUCCGACGGGAGGCAGCAGUAGGGAAUCUUCCGCAAUGGGCGAAAGCCUGACGGAGCAACGCCGCGUGAGUGAUGAAGGUCUUCGGAUCGUAAAACUCUGUUAUUAGGGAAGCGGUACCUAAUCAGAAAGCCACGGCUAACUACGUGCCAGCAGCCGCGGUAAUAC
rnacentral:rRNA from 1 species